GACAAGGACAACAAAGAAGGCGGACGUACAACAGUUGCCAGUCCUGUUGUACGUGUGCCUUCUAUGUUGUCCUUGUCAAGUUUGCGC
rnacentral:pre_miRNA from 1 species